GGAGGCACCCGCUCUGACGCUGAAGGUUAUUCUAUUUUUAACAUCAUGCUGCCGCACUUUUUUUGGUGGAGAGAUGCUAAUAAAAAGAUUACAUUGCUGUCCACCCAUUGCUGGCACCUGACCUGAUGGGUUUCUCUUCAACAUGCAUGAGGCUGACUUGUUUUUCGUAGAGGAAUUUGGAAAGGAAGAGGAAGCCGAGUUUUCCAGCACAUCCACUGGAUGUUUUUCUAGGAGCUGGUCCCCAGCAGGAUCUGUUCCUUUCCAAGGCAUUGCUUUGGCCCUUUCUGAAGGUUUCCCACCUCUCCAACAGUCCCACUCUCUUAACACCUCCCCUGGAAUUAUUCCUCAGCUUCACUUUGUGUGCUGAAGGCCAAGCAUCCUCCAAGCCCCAGUGCAUUGCAAAUGAUUUAAAGGGCUUAGAGCUCCUUUGCCAGGGCUUUGGUCUCAAACAAUGCACAGUAGCUGUGCAUAAUUUUGACUUUUCCCCAUGUGGCAGGGGUUUAAAGAAUAUUUUUCUUAUCGAAACACUUUUUUUUUUUUUUUUUAAGUGAAAACAUCAAAUAAACUAGCAGAAAAUCUAAUUAAUUUUUCAUCAUGUGCAGAGUCUCUGGAAUAAUUAACAGGGUUGAGAUUCCCCACAAGCCAAUAUCAGCUGUGCCAUGAAUAUUCAUGCCGGAUGGAAACAGCGAGGAUUGAGGGGCAGGUGUCGAUUUUCAUUGACUUUGGGAAGCGAUUGUGGAUGCUGCAGGUUAGCCGCCUGCCGUGCUGCUACGUGGUGAUGGUGGUGGCCACCUCUGCAGAAGGCAAAGCCUCUGGUGAUGUUUCUGGAAGGAAAAAUGUUUUCCAAACCAAUUUGAAAUGAGAAAGGGAGCUUGAAGUGUCUGGGGAUGGUGGAGGAGAUGCAGUCUAUGUGAUGGGUAAGAUAAUAAGCUGAGGGUCAGUUGAUGGGUGGACACACAGUGUGGCUCCACCGGGCUUUGACACGGAGUUCUCACUUUCCUGGAAUGAAAAUAAAGCCAAAAAGCUGCACUAAACACUGGUUUUGUUUCAGUUUGGGUGGCUUAGAGCUUAAAUCGCCUCAAAAAGAGCCUAUUAAAGGCAACGGGCACCACGGGGUGAUAAGGGGAAGUGCCCUAAGGAUGCACAUCAAGAUCAAACUGUGAGUUUCAGAGGGGUUUGCACAUGGUUUUCUGUGUCAGAGGGAAAUAGGCAAGCUGUAAAUGGAAAUCAGCUGCUGGCUCUGGAGUUGGAAAUGAAAUGCAAGUCCAUUCAGUUUGCAAGUUUGUCUUAAAAUGUAUCUGGUAGCAAUUCUGUUUGUUGAUAUCUUUAAUGGGAUUUAAUUAAGUAUGCUUACAGGACAAGGAAAGACCAUAUGGUCCCCCUUAUUAUCAGCUAAUUUAACUUUUCCCAAGGAUAAUUAAAACCAAUGGAUGUAUUUGCCGUAUUAACAACUGCAAAGACCAAGCUUUCUUCCGCCUUGCUUUCUUAGCAGCAGCCUCAAGAGCAAAAUUCUUCUAUGGACUUUAAUAGAAGCUAAUACUGCAUUACUGUCUGGGGUCAGUCUUCUAGAUUGACCCACGUAGUGCUUCGGUAGGAACUCAAUUUUUUGAAGGUAAGCCAUUUUUUGAUAUUGGUUCUAUAUGCAGAGUCAGCUUGCACCUGAAACAGGUUGCUGAAUAGGGGCUUUGCUUCGUUUCAUGAAAUAUAUCUUUGCAUUUGAAUUCUCACUUGUAUAACAUCUGUAAUCAGGUUGGUCAAAGGACAGAAAGGACAGAUGCUGGAGCACAGCAUCCCUUCCCAAAAUACCCGGUCUCUGUUUUGGGACGCGAGCAGCAAAUCCUCAGCCUCCCAUGGCGGUUUGCUUCAAAGCCCGAUCCUACUCAUCACUAAGAGCAUGAGCUUUGCUCCUAAUCUGAAUUGCCGACUGGAGCUUCUAGCCAUUGAUUUGCAAUACGGCUCCUUCCCCGCUUGUAAAGAUCCUUUAAUACCUGGUAUUUUCUCCUCUGAGGAUAUGAUGUGCUGUAAUCAAGUCAUCUCUCACUUGUCUGUGCGAUAACUGGGGCCGGUGGCACUGUUCGUGUCCGAAUGCUAACGGCUUUUUGUAAGCGUCGCGCACGUGCAUGGCUUUUUCUGCCUUUCUGACCCCUUUUUCCACCUUCCGACCCCUUUUUUCCACCUGCCAAAAGUGGGUGCCCCAUUUGGAGGCUCCAUUUCCACGUUGGCUUCACUUACAUCGAGGUGUUCAAUAGCACUGCCAUGUUGCAGAACCCCCCCAAAAAUAACCCUGGAGAUCCGAUAAGCCAUAAACUCCCUAAUAAAAAAAGGGUCAGCAGGCUUAUCCCUGGAGAAACGGGGUGGCCCAUGCAUUUAGAGUGAUUUUCAUGAGAUGUGUGCUUCCAGCCCUAACAGCUCUGAUCUUUUCAGGACUGGGUGGAUGAAGAGGGAGCAACUCCAGAGCUUGUAUGACUUCUUUGGGCUUAAUGCAGCUACAGGGGGUCCUGUGCUGAGCAGGCAAAGCAGAUUUUCGUUGCCAAAACCAUCUCCAGCCAGCACACGUGGUCCCAUCACCAUUGGAUUUUCCUGCUUGGAUGGAAUCCACCAUUGGAUUUUCCUGCUUUUCCUGAUGGCAAGGCAGGGAUGGCUCUGCAGAUGCUCUUCGAAUGGCCACAGCCCAUCCAAGCACGAGAAACUCUCCCACUCGCCAUCUUCUGCAGUUGUCACCUUGGGUUAUGAAGGGGAAAUAUGAAUUUUCCAGCUCCCUAGACCCUGCUGGGAAGACUUGUAGCAUCAUCCUGGAGGAAAUCCUGCUUAUCAUGUCAGCUGCCAGUCAUCAAGGUCCAAUUCUGCCCCUGUUGUCUCUUGGGAUCCAGUCCCAUGUUGCUUCAACCCAAAUUUCUCCUGGUGCAACACCUCAUGGCACGAUCAGCUAUUCCCCCUCUGCUGCCACAGCCUGCUGAUGCAUUGAUGGACAGGAGCUGGGGGAGAAAACCUUUGCUGGAGAGCGGUGGGCUCAGCAGCUGGACAAAAUGGACCAAGAGACAAGAGAUGGGAAGA